AGAGUUUGAUCAUGGCUCAGAAUCAACGCUGGCGGCGCGCUUAACACAUGCAAGUCGCACGAGAAAGUGGAGCAAUCCAUGAGUACAGUGGCGUACGGGUGAGUAACACGUGGAUUAUCUACCCUUUAGUGGGGAAUAACCCUGGGAAACCGGGGCUAAUACCGCAUAAGCCUGGAAAGGGAAAGCAGCAAUGCGCUGAAGGAGGAGUCCGCGGCCGAUUAGCUAGUUGGUAGGGUAAUGGCCUACCAAGGCAAUGAUCGGUAGCCGGCCUGAGAGGGCACACGGCCACACUGGCACUGAAACACGGGCCAGACUCCUACGGGAGGCAGCAGUGGGGAAUCUUGCACAAUGGGGGAAACCCUGAUGCAGCGACGCCGCGUGAGCGAUGAAGCCCUUCGGGGUGUAAAGCUCUUUCGGCAGGAACGAUAAUGACGGUACCUGAAGAAGAAGCUGCGGCUAACUACGUGCCAGCAGCCGCGGUAAUACGUAGGCAGCAAGCGUUGUUCGGAGUUACUGGGCGUAAAGAGUGUGUAGGCUGUUCUCUAAGUUUGGUGUGAAAUCUCCCGGCUUAACUGGGAGGGUGCGCCGAAAACUGGAGGGCUUGAGUAUGGGAGAGGAAAGCGGAAUUCCUGGUGUAGCGGUGAAAUGCGUAGAUAUCAGGAGGAACACCUGCGGUGUAGACGGCUUUCUGGACCAUCACUGACGCUGAGACACGAAAGCGUGGGGAGCAAACAGGAUUAGAUACCCCGGUAGUCC
rnacentral:rRNA from 1 species